rnacentral:rRNA from 1 species
UACGGAGGGUGCAAGCGUUAUCCGGAUUUACUGGGUUUAAAGGGUGCGUAGGUGGGUAGGUAAGUCAGUGGUGAAAUCUUCGAGCUUAACUCGGAAACUGCCAUUGAUACUAUUUAUCUUGAAUACUUUGGAGGUAAGCGGAAUAUGUCAUGUAGCGGUGAAAUGCUUAGAUAUGACAUAGAACACCAAUUGCGAAGGCAGCUUACUACACGAAUAUUGACACUGAUGCACGAAAGCGUGGGGAUCAAACAGG